rnacentral:lncRNA from 1 species
ACAAACUGCAGUCCACUCAAAUCUUCCACUGAUAAAAUUAAUGAAGCACUAUUAGUUCUUCUCUAGCAACAAAAAUUAGAGGCUAUCAUGGUGGAUUUCAAUAAAUAUCAUUAAACUCAAAAGUUUGGGUCUCGCCAAAAUAUAAGCAAUAGAAGAGAGGAAACAAUGAUCCAAACCAAUAGAAACAUAAUUUAAACUAUCACCAAUAACUUAUUGAAAUUUCAAGAUCGGAGUAAGAUUCACCGUUGGCUCUUACGUUCUUCAUCUAGAAAAAAAAACCCAUAAAACCUUGCUUUCUUUCCCCUUCUCUCUAUCUUUUUCUCUCAAAUAGAACGGUAAGGGGACCACAUCUAACAAUCUCCUCCUCUUGACUCACGUGGAAGAAGGCUUCCCUAUACCCACAACCUCUCUACAAACAAGAA